AUACUGUGGAAGCAAAGACACCUGCAUCUUGGAUGCCCUUGAGGUGGGUGGUGACCCUUCAGAAUGGUAACAUGAAUGUCAGACACUACUUACUGGAUGUAUUGGCCUUCCUGAAGUUUUUAAACCGAACAAGUCGUCCAGUCGGUCAUCUCACACGACAUUCAAGGAAUCACAUUUCAAGACACCUGAGACAAAAGCUAAAAAACAUUGACACGCACAAAAAACCCCACAAAUGGACUCUCAAGGACUCUGGAAACAAUCCUUCUGCACCGAAGCGACGUGUAAACAAGAACACUUCUUGAGUGCAGGGCUGUGCCCUCACUGCGUGUGAUGCUGACAUGUCCACAUGUAACAUAAAAUGUUUUAAUUUUAUAUACAAAGUACUGUACAUUUGAUUUAAAAGUUCUUGCAUUCUAUUGCUGAUUAUUGCUGUCUAGAUUUUUUUAUUUUUUGGAGGAGAAAUCAUUGAUCAUGCGGUAAAUUAAUUAAACUUUGCACAUGGUUUCUCA